AACGCUAGCUACAGGCUUAACACAUGCAAGUCGAGGGGCAGCAUGGUCUUAGCUUGCUAAGGCCGAUGGCGACCGGCGCACGGGUGAGUAACACGUAUCCAACCUGCCGUCUACUCUUGGACAGCCUUCUGAAAGGAAGAUUAAUACAAGAUGGCAUCAUGAGUCCGCAUGUUCACAUGAUUAAAGGUAUUCCGGUAGACGAUGGGGAUGCGUUCCAUUAGAUAGUAGGCGGGGUAACGGCCCACCUAGUCUUCGAUGGAUAGGGGUUCUGAGAGGAAGGUCCCCCACAUUGGAACUGAGACACGGUCCAAACUCCUACGGGAGGCAGCAGUGAGGAAUAUUGGUCAAUGGGCGGGAGCCUGAACCAGCCAAGUAGCGUGAAGGAUGACUGCCCUAUGGGUUGUAAACUUCUUUUAUAAAGGAAUAAAGUCGGGUAUGGAUACCCGUUUGCAUGUACUUUAUGAAUAAGGAUCGGCUAACUCCGUGCCAGCAGCCGCGGUAAUACGGAGGAUCCGAGCGUUAUCCGGAUUUAUUGGGUUUAAAGGGAGCGUAGAUGGAUGUUUAAGUCAGUUGUGAAAGUUUGCGGCUCAACCGUAAAAUUGCAGUUGAUACUGGAUAUCUUGAGUGCAGUUGAGGCAGGCGGAAUUCGUGGUGUAGCGGUGAAAUGCUUAGAUAUCACGAAGAACUCCGAUUG
rnacentral:rRNA from 1 species